rnacentral:rRNA from 1 species
GAUGAACGCUGGCGGCGUGCCUAAUACAUGCAAGUCGAGCGAAGCGGGGACGGGUGAGUAACACGUGGGUAACCUCCUAUAAGACUGGGAUAACUUUGGGAAACCGGAGCUAAACCGGAUACGUAUAGAUGGAUCCCCGCUGCAUUAGCUAGUUGGUAAGGUAACGGCUUACCAGGGCAACGAUGCAUAGCCGACCGGAGAGGGUGAUCGGCCACACUGGAACUGAGACACGGUCCAGACUCCUACGGGAGGCAGCAGUAGGGAAUCUUCCGCAAUGGGCGAAAGCCUGAUGGAGCAAUGCCGCGUGAGUGAUGAAGGUCUUCGGAUCGUAAAACUCUGUCAUUGGGGAAGCGGUACCUACUCAGAAAGCCACGGCUAACUCCGUGCCAGCAGCCGCGGUAAUAC